rnacentral:rRNA from 1 species
CCUACGGGAGGCAGCAGUGAGGAAUAUUGGUCAAUGGUCGGGAGACUGAACCAGCCAAGCCGCGUGAGGGAGGAAGGUACAGAGUAUCGUAAACCUCUUUUGUCAGGGAACAAAAGCGGGGACGCGUCCCCUUAUGAGUGUACCUGAAGAAAAAGCAUCGGCUAACUCCGUGCCAGCAGCCGCGGUAAUACGGAGGAUGCGAGCGUUAUCCGGAUUUAUUGGGUUUAAAGGGUGCGCAGGCGGACGGUUAAGUCAGCGGUAAAAGUGCGGGGCUCAACCUCUGCGAGCCGUUGAAACUGGCAGUCUUGAGUUGGAGAGAAGUAUGCGGAAUGCGCGGUGUAGCGGUGAAAUGCAUAGAUAUCGCGCAGAACUCCGAUUGCGAAGGCAGCAUACCGGCUCUAAACUGACGCUGAGGCACGAAAGCGUGGGUAUCGAACAGGAUUAGAUACCCGAGUAGUC